AUACGUAGGGGGCGAGCGUUGUCCGGAAUGAUUGGGCGUAAAGGGCGCGUAGGCGGCCCGGUAAGUCUGGAGUGAAAGUCCUGUUUUUAAGAUGGGAAUUGCUUUGGAUACUGUCGGGCUUGAGUGCAGGAGAGGUAAGUGGAAUUCCCAGUGUAGCGGUGAAAUGCGUAGAGAUUGGGAGGAACACCAGUGGCGAAGGCGACUUACUGGACUGUAACUGACGCUGAGGCGCGAAAGUGUGGGGAGCAAACAGGAUUAGAUACCCUAGUAGUCCACACUGUAAACGAUGAAUGCUAGGUGUAGGGGGUAUCGACCCCUUCUGUGCCGCAGUCAACACAAUAAGCAUUCCGCCUGGGGAGUACGGCCGCAAGGUUGAAACUCAAAGGAAUUGGCGGGG
rnacentral:rRNA from 1 species